AGAAUCAACGCUGGCGGCGCGCUUAACACAUGCAAGUCGAACGAGAAAGCCCGCGAGGGUGAGUAAAGUGGCGUACGGGCGAGUAACACGUGGGUAAUCUACCUUUUGGUGGGGAAUAACCCUGGGAAACCGGGGCUAAUACCGCAUAAGCUCUUCAUUUAUUUGGGGAGGAAAGGAGCAAUUCGCCGAAAGAAGAGCCCGCGGCUGAUUAGCUAGUUGGUGAGGUAAGAGCUCACCAAGGCUAUGAUCGGUA
rnacentral:rRNA from 1 species